rnacentral:rRNA from 1 species
CCUACGGGAGGCUGCAGUGGGGAAUAUUGGACAAUGGGGGCAACCCUGAUCCAGCCAUGCCGCGUGUGUGAAGAAGGCCCUCGGGUUGUAAAGCACUUUCAGUGAGGAAGAACGCCUGGUGGUUAAUACCCAUCAGGAAAGACAUCACUCACAGAAGAAGCACCGGCUAACUCCGUGCCAGCAGCCGCGGUAAUACGGAGGGUGUGAGCGUUAAUCGGAAUUACUGGGCGUAAAGCGCGCGUAGGUGGCUUGAUAAGCCGGUUGUGAAAGCCCCGGGCUCAACCUGGGAACGGCAUCCGGAACUGUCAAGCUAGAGUGCAGGAGAGGAAGGUAGAAUUCCCGGUGUAGCGGUGAAAUGCGUAGAGAUCGGGAGGAAUACCAGUGGCGAAGGCGGCCUUCUGGACUGACACUGACACUGAGGUGCGAAAGCGUGGGUAGCAAACAGGAUUAGAUACCCCUGUAGUC